rnacentral:rRNA from 1 species
UACGUAGGGCGCAAGCGUUGUCCGGAAUUAUUGGGCGUAAAGAGCUCGUAGGUGGUUUGUUACGUCUGCUGUGAAAACCUAGGGCUUAACCCUGGGCCUUCAGUGGAUACGGGCAGACUAGAGGUAGGUAGGGGAGAAUGGAAUUCCUGGUGUAGCGGUGAAAUGCGCAGAUAUCAGGAGGAACACCGGUGGCGAAGGCGGGUCUCUGGGCCGAAACUGACGCUGAGGAGCGAAAGCGUGGGGAGCGAACAGG